rnacentral:rRNA from 1 species
GAUCCUGGCUCAGGACGAACGCUGGCGGCGUGCUUAACACAUGCAAGUCGAACGAGGAAGUCUACUGAAAGAGUUUUCGGACAAUGGAAGUAGAGGAAAGUGGCGGACGGGUGAGUAACGCGUGAGGAACCUGCCUUGAAGAGGGGGGACAACAGUUGGAAACGACUGCUAAUACCGCAUGAUGCAUAAGGGUCGCAUGAUUCUUAUGCCAAAGAUUUAUCGCUUCAAGAUGGCCUCGCGU